rnacentral:rRNA from 1 species
CGAAUGGGGAAACCCAGUGUGUUUCGACACACUAUCAUUAACUGAAUCCAUAGGUUAAUGAGGCGAACCGGGGGAACUGAAACAUCUAAGUACCCCGAGGAAAAGAAAUCAACCGAGAUUCCCCCAGUAGCGGCGAGCGAACGGGGAGCAGCCCAGAGCCUGAAUCAGUGUGUGUGUUAGUGGAAGCGUCUGGAAAGGCGCGCGAUACAGGGUGACAGCCCCGUACACAAAAAUGCACAUGCUGUGAGCUCGAUGAGUAGGGCGGGACACGUGGUAUCCUGUCUGAAUAUGGGGGGACCAUCCUCCAAGGCUAAAUACUCCUGACUGACCGAUAGUGAACCAGUACCGUGAGGGAAAGGCGAAAAGAACCCCGGCGAGGGGAGUGAAAAAGAACCUGAAACCGUGUACGUACAAGCAGUGGGAGCCUCUUUAUGGGGUGACUGCGUACCUUUUGUAUAAUGGGUCAGCGACUUAUAUUCUGUAGCAAGGUUAACCGAAUAGGGGAGCCGAAGGGAAACCGAGUCUUAACUGGGCGUUAAGUUGCAGGGUAUAGACCCGAAACCCGGUGAUCUAGCCAUGGGCAGGUUGAAGGUUGGGUAACACUAACUGGAGGACCGAACCGACUAAUGUUGAAAAAUUAGCGGAUGACUUGUGGCUGGGGGUGAAAGGCCAAUCAAACCGGGAGAUAGCUGGUUCUCCCCGAAAGCUAUUUAGGUAGCGCCUCGUGAACUCAUCUCCGGGGGUAGAGCACUGUUUCGGCAAGGGGGUCAUCCCGACUUACCAACCCGAUGCAAACUGCGAAUACCGGAGAAUGUUAUCACGGGAGACACACGGCGGGUGCUAACGUCCGUCGUGAAGAGGGAAACAACCCAGACCGCCAGCUAAGGUCCCAAAGUCAUGGUUAAGUGGGAAACGAUGUGGGAAGGCCCAGACAGCCAGGAUGUUGGCUUAGAAGCAGCCAUCAUUUAAAGAAAGCGUAAUAGCUCACUGGUCGAGUCGGCCUGCGCGGAAGAUGUAACGGGGCUAAACCAUGCACCGAAGCUGCGGCAGCGACGCUUAUGCGUUGUUGGGUAGGGGAGCGUUCUGUAAGCCUGUGAAGGUGUGCUGUGAGGCAUGCUGGAGGUAUCAGAAGUGCGAAUGCUGACAUAAGUAACGAUAAAGCGGGUGAAAAGCCCGCUCGCCGGAAGACCAAGGGUUCCUGUCCAACGUUAAUCGGGGCAGGGUGAGUCGACCCCUAAGGCGAGGCCGAAAGGCGUAGUCGAUGGGAAACAGGUUAAUAUUCCUGUACUUGGUGUUACUGCGAAGGGGGGACGGAGAAGGCUAUGUUGGCCGGGCGACGGUUGUCCCGGUUUAAGCGUGUAGGCUGGUUUUCCAGGCAAAUCCGGAAAAUCAAGGCUGAGGCGUGAUGACGAGGCACUACGGUGCUGAAGCAACAAAUGCCCUGCUUCCAGGAAAAGCCUCUAAGCAUCAGGUAACAUCAAAUCGUACCCCAAACCGACACAGGUGGUCAGGUAGAGAAUACCAAGGCGCUUGAGAGAACUCGGGUGAAGGAACUAGGCAAAAUGGUGCCGUAACUUCGGGAGAAGGCACGCUGAUAUGUAGGUGAAGUCCCUCGCGGAUGGAGCUGAAAUCAGUCGAAGAUACCAGCUGGCUGCAACUGUUUAUUAAAAACACAGCACUGUGCAAACACGAAAGUGGACGUAUACGGUGUGACGCCUGCCCGGUGCCGGAAGGUUAAUUGAUGGGGUCAGCGCAAGCGAAGCUCUUGAUCGAAGCCCCGGUAAACGGCGGCCGUAACUAUAACGGUCCUAAGGUAGCGAAAUUCCUUGUCGGGUAAGUUCCGACCUGCACGAAUGGCGUAAUGAUGGCCAGGCUGUCUCCACCCGAGACUCAGUGAAAUUGAACUCGCUGUGAAGAUGCAGUGUACCCGCGGCAAGACGGAAAGACCCCGUGAACCUUUACUAUAGCUUGACACUGAACAUUGAGCCUUGAUGUGUAGGAUAGGUGGGAGGCUUAGAAGUGUGGACGCCAGUCUGCAUGGAGCCGACCUUGAAAUACCACCCUUUAAUGUUUGAUGUUCUAACGUUGACCCGUAAUCCGGGUUGCGGACAGUGUCUGGUGGGUAGUUUGACUGGGGCGGUCUCCUCCUAAAGAGUAACGGAGGAGCACGAAGGUUGGCUAAUCCUGGUCGGACAUCAGGAGGUUAGUGCAAUGGCAUAAGCCAGCUUGACUGCGAGCGUGACGGCGCGAGCAGGUGCGAAAGCAGGUCAUAGUGAUCCGGUGGUUCUGAAUGGAAGGGCCAUCGCUCAACGGAUAAAAGGUACUCCGGGGAUAACAGGCUGAUACCGCCCAAGAGUUCAUAUCGACGGCGGUGUUUGGCACCUCGAUGUCGGCUCAUCACAUCCUGGGGCUGAAGUAGGUCCCAAGGGUAUGGCUGUUCGCCAUUUAAAGUGGUACGCGAGCUGGGUUUAGAACGUCGUGAGACAGUUCGGUCCCUAUCUGCCGUGGGCGCUGGAGAACUGAGGGGGGCUGCUCCUAGUACGAGAGGACCGGAGUGGACGCAUCACUGGUGUUCGGGUUGUCAUGCCAAUGGCACUGCCCGGUAGCUAAAUGCGGAAGAGAUAAGUGCUGAAAGCAUCUAAGCACGAAACUUGCCCCGAGAUGAGUUCUCCCUGACCCUUUAAGGGUCCUGAAGGAACGUUGAAGACGACGACGUUGAUAGGCCGGGUGUGUAAGCGCAGCGAUGCGUUGAGCUAACCGGUACUAAUGAACCGUGAGGCUUAACCUU